GAUGAAGAACGUAGCGAAAUGCGAUACUUGGUGUGAAUUGCAGAAUCCCGUGAACCAUCGAGUCUUUGAACGCAAGUUGCGCCCGAAGCCAUUAGGCCGAGGGCACGCCUGCCUGGGCGUCACACGUCGUUGCCCCCCCAUCUACUCCUUCGGGAUUGCGGGGGGCGGAUGAUGGCCUCCCGUGCGCCUCGCCGCGCGGUUGGCAUAAAUGCCAAGUCCUCGGCGACGCACGCCACGACAAUCGGUGGUUGCGAAACCUCGGUUGCCCGUCGUGUGCGGUCGUCGCGCAUCGAGGGCUCGAAAAAAUUGCCGGGUUCCGGCUCGGCUUUCAACGCGUCCCCAGGUCAGGCGGGGUUACCCGCUGAAUUUAAGCAUAUCAAUAAGCGGAGGA
rnacentral:misc_RNA from 1 species